UACAGGGGGUGCAAGCGUUGUCCGGAAUGAUUGGGCGUAAAGCAUCUGUAGGUGGUUUUUCAAGUCCACUGUUAAAUCCCAGAGCUCAACUUUGGACAAGCAGUUGAGUACUUAAAGACUCGAGUAUGGUAGGGGCAGAGGGAAUUCCUAGUGGAGCGGUGAAAUGCACAGAGAUUAGGAAGAACACCAGUGGCGAAAGCGCUCUGCUGGGCCAUGACUGACACUGAGAGAUGAAAGUUAGGGGAGCGAAAAGG
rnacentral:rRNA from 1 species